UCAGCUGCAACAUGGUAAUCAAGAAAAUUGCAACGAAAAUUGCAAAAAUGAAACAGAGGCAUCGGAAAACGAUCAUGGAAUUCCGAGCCCACAUCCGAAAAUCCCAGAAGAUGCUUCAGGAAUUCCAUGACCAAUAUGGAGAGGACCUGAAGGAACUUACAGGCCUGCAGGAAGAACUGCAAAACUUGCCUUAAACUUAUUCAAAUUUAUUUUUUUAUUAAAAAAGUUUUCUU